rnacentral:rRNA from 1 species
GUGGGGAAUUUUGGACAAUGGGCGAAAGCCUGAUCCAGCCAUGCCGCGUGCAGGAUGAAGGCCUUCGGGUUGUAAACUGCUUUUGUACGGAACGAAAAGACUCCUUCUAAUAAAGGGGGUCCAUGACGGUACCGUAAGAAUAAGCACCGGCUAACUACGUGCCAGCAGCCGCGGUAAUACGUAGGGUGCAAGCGUUAAUCGGAAUUACUGGGCGUAAAGCGUGCGCAGGCGGUUAUAUAAGGCAGAUGUGAAAUCCCCGGGCUCAACCUGGGAACUGCAUUUGUGACUGUAUAGCUAGAGUACGGUAGAGGGGGAUGGAAUUCCGCGUGUAGCAGUGAAAUGCGUAGAUAUGCGGAGGAACACCGAUGGCGAAGGCAAUCCCCUGGACCUGUACUGACGCUCAUGCACGAAAGCGUGGGGAGCAAACAGGAUUAGAAACCCCAGUAGUCC